UGGGGAAUAUUGCACAAUGGGGGAAACCCUGAUGCAGCGACGCCGCGUGAGUGAAGAAGUAAUUCGUUACGUAAAGCUCUAUCAGCAGGGAAGAAAAUGACGGUACCUGAGUAAGAAGCCCCGGCUAACUACGUGCCAGCAGCCGCGGUAAUACGUAGGGGGCAAGCGUUAUCCGGAUUUACUGGGUGUAAAGGGAGCGUAGACGGUACGCCAAGUCUGAAGUGAAAUGCCGCAGCUUAACUGCGGAACUGCUUUGGAAACUGGCGGGCUGGAGUGCGGGAGGGGUAAGCGGAAUUCCUAGUG
rnacentral:rRNA from 1 species